GGGGCGGGGCCACUGGGGGCGGGGCCAGAGGAACUGGGGUCGCCGACGGGAGAGCUGGGGUGACUGCGGGCACGUGUCCUGCCCUACCGGCCGAGACUCCUCCCGUCCGCGGGGUCGUGUGCUUCCCACAACCGCCCCCCACUCUGCCUUGGUCUCCACGCAAACCGAAGGAAAUGCUGAGCCAAUGCCUUUUUUUUUAAGGGGUAACUGAGGCUGCAGAAAGUUCCUGGGCUCCUGUGAGGUCCCCAGAAAGUCCCAUUCCUGAACCCUCUAACGCGGAGGAGUGACAGAGGGAAGUGAGGACGCAAAGAGACAGUGGUCUUACGUAUCUUGGUUUAGAAACUUCGACAGAAGCUUUGGACCAGGCGAAAAUACCGCAGCGGCCUUGGAAGGGCCUGUGCGCGCGCGGGCUUGGGAACGAGCUUCGUUCAUUGAUGGUGAACCCGCCUCUGGUCCUAGGGGACUCCAUUCUGCUACUCUGAGCCCCAGUGACUUGUUUCCACUUAGCCUGGAUCUUUAUUCGUAUUACAUAUUACAUAGUUAUUCGCAUUCAUAUUACGUGGCCAAAGCGCCAAGAAGUCCCAACUGUAUUUCCUUGAUGUGCUAGGCUCACUGCUCCAGCCUGAGUAGCCAGUGACUGUCACGUGACGGGACAUUGUUAUCGCCUGGAGACAAGGGACACGCAGCCAAAAGAAAAGUCGGAAGAAAAAUAAGCGCAGAGGUGUCUCAGGAAGUCAAGCGACAGGAAUGACAGCGGCGAUUCCCGUGUCGUUUGAAUUUUGCCCUACCGGUCAGGGUCAGCUCUUUUUAACAUUUGCGAGUCAUCGGGGUGUCAUUUCUCUUUCUAAGUAAACACUCGUUUCUGUACCUCAUUGUCUAUUCUUUGUGCUAAAGAACUCCCCUUCAGGGGUGGCUCCUUCGGUUAAGCGUCUGACUCCUGGUUUCGGCUCAGGUCAUGAUCUCACGGUUCGUGAGUUCGAGGCCCCGAGUCGGGCUCUGCGCUGACGGUGCAGAACCUGCUUGGGAUCCUCUCUCUCCCUCUCUCUGCCCCUCCCCUGCUCUCUCUCCCUCUCUCUCAUUCUCCCCUUCCCAAAAUACAUAAACUUUUUUUUAAAAAAUGCUGUUUGAAAUAAGUCCCCUUGUCCCUAUAUUAAAAUGAGGAAACUGGGGGAUGCCUGGAGGGCUCAACGGGUAGAGCAUGUGACUUGAGAUCUCGGGGUCGUGAGUUUGAGCCCCACGCUGGGUGUAGAGAUUACUUAAAUAAAUUAAAAUUUUGAAUCAAUCAGUAAAACGAGGAAACUGAGUCACAGAGCCGGUGGAGAAGUCUCCGUGUGUGGUCAGGUCUGUCCGACUCCUCAGCCCGAAGGGCUGGCUGUGUCUCCAGCCCCGGUCGGCCUGUACCCCCGGAGUCUUAGCGGCCUGUGGGGCCCCUGCAUUCAGCCAACUAACACUGCUAACAGCUUCUCAGGGCUCUGAACGUCCCUGCCACAGAGCCUAAGCUGCCACCAGCCGUCACUCUCCCUGCGCAGAGCGGAUCAUGGGUGUUGCUCAAGGCGAUGCGUCCUUGCAAGACCUUGGUUGUCCACAGACACCCCGGCCCUGGAACCCCCAUCUGGAUAAACAGCCCCCCCCCCCGGGAUAUUCACGAUGGUCGGUGAAUUUAUUUCGCACAUACCAUGCCCCAAGCACUUCCUGUGCCUUGCCUCAUCUGGUCCUCAAAGUCUUGUGAAGUAGGUAUUAUGAACCCAUUUCACGGAAGAGGAAACAGAGGGUCAGGGAGAUUUAUAAUAAUAGGACGAAGGCGGGUGAGUAUGGUUACUAAAUAUGCUAGACCUUAGAGCUGGUCCGUACAAUUGUGGAGCCCGUUCUCCCACCAUUCUCGCUGUGUGAUCUCGAGCAUGUUAAAUAACCACUCUGGGCCUCAGUGGCACAGCCACAAAGUGACAAUAAUCGUACCUUCCCAGACGUGUGUCAACACACACAACCACACUGGCACAAUAAAUUCUUCGUAAAUGUCUGUUCUUUUAAUAUCACUUUUGUUGUAAUGUUUCUUUAUUGACUUUUAGACAGAGAGAGAGAGAAUCCCAAGCAG